rnacentral:rRNA from 1 species
AGUGAACGCUGGCGGUAGGCCUAACACAUGCAAGUCGAACGGCAGCACAGUAAGAGCUUGCUCUUACGGGUGGCGAGUGGCGGACGGGUGAGGAAUACAUCGGAAUCUACUUUUUCGUGGGGGAUUACGUAGGGAAACUUACGCUAAUACCGCAUACGACCUACGGGUGAAAGCAGGGGAUCUUGGGACCUUGCGCGAUUGAAUGAGCCGAUGUCGGAUUAGCUAGUUGGCGGGGUAAAGGCCCACCAAGGCGACGAUCCGUAGCUGGUCUGAGAGGAUGAUCAGCCACACUGGAACUGAGACACGGUCCAGACUCCUACGGGAGGCAGCAGUGGGGAAUAUUGGACAAUGGGCGCAAGCCUGAUCCAGCCAUACCGCGUGGGUGAAGAAGGCCUUCGGGUUGUAAAGCCCUUUUGUUGGGAAAGAAAAGCAGCAGGUUAAUACCCCGCUGUUCUGACGGUACCCAAAGAAUAAGCACCGGCUAACUUCGUG